CGCGGAUAUCUGCUUCUGGCGGGGAAUAACAGUCCGAAAGGAUUGCUAAUGCCGCAUGUGUCUGUGUGGUUUCCGAACUGCACAGAGAAAGAGGGCGCCCGCAAGGGGCUCUCACCAGAAGAUGAGUCCGCGUCCCAUCAGCUAGUUGGCGGGGUAAUGGCCCACCAAGGCAGAGACGGGUAGCUGGUCUGAGAGGAUGACCACCCACACUGGGACUGAGACACGGCCCAGACUCCUACGGGAGGCAGCAGUGGGGAAUUUUGGACAAUGGGCGAAAGCCUGAUCCAGCCAUUCCGCGUGCAGGAUGAAGGCCCUCGGGUUGUAAACUGCUUUUGUACGGAACGAAACGGCUUUUCUAAUACAAGAGGCUAAUGACGGCACCGUAAGGAAUAAGCACCGGCUAACUACGUGCCAGCAGCCGGGGUAAAUACGUAGGGUUGCAAAGCGUAACUCGGGAAUUACUGGGCGUAAAAGCCGUUGCGCAGGCGGGUUACUGUAGGCACAGGUUGGUGAAUUCCCCGGGGGCUUCAACCCUGGGAAACCUCGGCAUUCUGUAGAACUUGGGCUUACGUAGAGAGUNCACGGGGAAACAACGGGGCA
rnacentral:rRNA from 1 species